rnacentral:ncRNA from 1 species
AAAUUUUUCUAUGACUAUAGAUUUUUUUUCGUUUCUGGUUCAGAAAGCUUUUGAUUAAUUUGGGCUUUAAUGUAUUUCAAAGUAAAAUUACAUGUUAAUACGUAGUAUUAAUGGCGAGACUCCUGAGGGAGCAGUGCCAGUCGAAGACAGGGGCCCCAACACAGAAGCUGACAUAUAGUCAGCUUACAACAAUGUGCCGGUUGGGGUGGCUGAGACGGCACCCUAGGAAGGGACCCGUCAUCAAAAAUUCUAUUUAUAGAAUUUUACAGUAAUGUGCCAGACGGGCAAAGCGAAGCCAUUCAAUACGAAGUAUUGUAUAAAUAGAGAACAGCAG